rnacentral:rRNA from 1 species
AGGAAAUAGAUACCCGGGUAGUCCACGCCCUAAACGAUGUCUACUAGUUGUCGGGGAUUCAUUUCCUUGGUAAACGCAGCUAAACGCGUGAAAGUAGACCGCCUGGGGAGUACGGCCGCAAGGUUAAAACUCAAAGGAAUUGACGGGGACCCGCACAAGCGGUGGAUGAUGUGGAUUAAUUCGAUGCAACGCGAAAAAACCUUACCUACGCUUGACAUGCCAGGAACUUUCCAGAGAUGGAUUGGUGCCCGAAAGGGAACUUGGACACAGGUGCUGCAUGGCUGUCGUCAGCUCGUGUCGUGAGAUGUUGGGUUAAGUCCCGCAACGAGCGCAACCCUUAUCCUUAGUUGCUACGCAAGGGCACUCUAGGGAGACUGCCGGUGACAAACCGGAGGAAGGUGGGGAUGACGUCAAGUCCUCAUGGCCCUUAUGUGUAGGGCUUCACACGUCAUACAAUGGUCGGUACAGAGGGUCGCCAACCCGGCGAGGGGUAGCCAAUCCCAGAAAACCGAUCGUAGUCCGGAUUGCAGUCUGCAACUCGACUGCAUGAA